UAUUUGGCUAUGAAAGGAAGGAGUAAUUAUAUCUAGUUAUUUAGAGAGGAAGUGGUCGGUGUAAACUUCUUAACAGAUAUUUUGAAGCAGUCCUGGAGCUAUAUUUUUACAAGUGAUACAAUUAUGAUAUUUUAUAUUUUCAUAAUUGUAUAAUUAGGGUGGUACCACGGAUAACUUUCGUCCCUUAU
rnacentral:ncRNA from 1 species